CAUGGAUCCUUUUAAUGAGU
rnacentral:snRNA from 1 species